CCUACGGGUGACAGCAGUGGGGAAUAUUGGGCAAUGGGCGCAAGCCUGACCCAGCAACGCCGCGUGAAGGAAGAAGGCUUUCGGGUUGUAAACUUCUUUUCUCAGGGACGAAGAAAGUGACGGUACCUGAGGAAUAAGCCACGGCUAACUACGUGCCAGCAGCCGCGGUAAUACGUAGGUGGCAAGCGUUAUCCGGAUUUAUUGGGUGUAAAGGGCGUGUAGGCGGGAGCGCAAGUCAGAUGUGAAAACUCAGGGCUCAACCCUGAGCCUGCAUUUGAAGCUGUGUUUCUUGAGUGCUGGAGAGGCAAUCGGAAUUCCGUGUGUAGCGGUGAAAUGCGUAGAUAUACGGAGGAACACCGAUUGCGAAGGCAGUUCACUGGACUGCAACUGACACUGAGGCUCGAAAGUGUGGGUAUCAAACAGGAUUAGAUACCCCAGUAGUC
rnacentral:rRNA from 1 species